AUGCUGGGCUAUAGCCUUUCUGAUUUUUUCCCUCAUAUGCCAGCAGCUUCCUUGUACUCUCCCCGAGUUGGCUGCCCCUUCUUCCACCAGGCAUAAACUCUUUUUCUCCUGGACACUCAGCAAAAGUCCCCCGUUUGGCCACGCCAGUCUUCUUCCCCACCGGCUCAUCUUAUGGCACAUGGGGUCAGCCUGCUCCUGCACCUUGAAGACUUCCUUCCCGAGGAGCAUCCAGCCUUCCUGGUCCCCUCUGCCCUUCAGGACUGACUCCCAGGGGACCCUCCCUACCAGCGUCCUGAACAGUUCAGUCUGCCCUCUGGAAGUCCGAGGCAGCGGUUUUUACCGACGUGGAUCAGCGGUGCUCUGCCCCCAUCCCCCUCUUGGUUGCACCCUCUGUAGACUGUCAGCUCCCCAGUACUUCGCCCUCUCUUCUGACUGGGGGCCUGUUGAGCAGACAUGACCAGCUGCAGGUUAUUCGAGAUGUCUGAGUUGUGAGGCUGCCUGUUCCACUGAAAACACCCGCUUAGCUAUCGUACUUGCUUGAGGCAGUCUGACCUUUUGGCCACUGCCGUGAAAGGGAAACCAGGAAGCAACCUGAACAGCUUUUAAAGCCAGACAGUGGCUUCUGCGUCCUCUCCCCUGUGAUGCUGCCUCUGCAACUCACUGAUGAGGGAAGCGUGUGCCCUCUCCAGCUGACUGCAGGCUGUGAAGUUCCCUGACAUAGCAGCAGCCUUCAGAAGUUGCUUGAGCUCUCUCUCUGCCCAUUCCACCAGGUGCUUGUGAGCUGGUUUCUGUGCUAGGUAGGUGCGUGGAAACAUGCUCUGGUUACCACUGGGAGCAGCUGCCUUAGCUGCGCUGAGAGAUCUCGGUCAGCAUGGUGUGACCAUCAGUCCUUGACCUCUGUCAUUUGGUAGUGCAGUUUCUUGUCUUUAAGUGGUUUUGAAAAGAGGCAGAGGAAAUAUGAAGGGUAACAGAAGUACUGGAGGACUACAGAGGAGGCUCUGUUUUCUGCCUGGAGAACGCAAAGCAUGGAUACUUUCAGCAUAAUAGUUUUAUUGUGGUCCCAGCUUCUGGACAUGUGUUGUCCUCCCCAGGCUUGUGCUGGAAACAGCAAGAGCAGCCAGCUGAUCACUGCUGGUCACAUGAGGCAGCACUGGUGUAAAAUUCAGCUCAUCUGAUCGGUGAGCUUAUUAAGGUACUGAUAGCUUGGCACUUCUCAAAAGAGGAGGCGUGAAAAAGUAAACGGCAAACUUUCAUUUCCUGCAGAGCUUCCUGCCCUGCUUUUCUUCUAGGGUCACAAAGCACAGCGAUCUUGUGACAUGCUUUCCAAAAUCUCUUUGAGGAUCUGAAUUUCUCUAAGAUGUUAUUGCUAGGGAGAAAAGACCAGAAAUUUAAGCAGAAAAAAAAGGAUCAAGGGAGGAGAGUGUCGUUUGUCCCUAAGGAGAUGUAUUCAGGUCAGUUCACAAUGAUCCUAAGUUUUGAUUAGAUUAAUUAAACUCCUGACAGUUCCCAACAGGGCUGUCUUUUAUCUUGAGCAUCUGGCGUGCACAGCAGCCACUGACCCAGCUCGCUUGGUGUGUCUGCAAGACUGGCAACAGCUCCGUUCUUCUGUACCCGCCUGGGGUAACAGAAAUGUUCUGUACCUAAGCUUGAUGGGAAGAUGAGCGUGGUGGUGAUGAGUGUCGUGUCUGGUUUAGACGCCUGUCCAUAUCCUAAACACUGCCUAACGCUAAAACAACUGGGGGUGCUCUUUCUACAACCUAGUUGUCUCAGUUAGGAUUUCUUUCUUCAGAGACUGACUGGGGGAGGAACAAUUGGCGUUUCAAACUAAUUUCAGCUUUCAAAGCCUAGCCAUUUUCUACCAUCUUGCCCUAUCUUCUAGAGACCUGGUUAAUGUUGGAAGCCUUCAAUAAGACCCAAGACUGUUAGCAAUUAGAGGAAACCAAGUCACAGUGCUCUCUGUAAAACUUUUCAUUUGGCAGGUGAUGUUUAGAGCAGGUGGGCAGCUUGUUGGCAGGAAAAGAAAUCUAGAUAUAAAGAUGUUUUCUGCUCAUCUUACUUUGCCAUUUAUUCCUGCCCUCGUCCAUUUCAUAGCAGAAACUUGUCUUGUCUCUGGAUGGUGCUUUGCUCUGAAGGUACUGCUGCAGGGGGAAAUAUUUCUCUGUGGGGUCUGAGGUCCCACAUCCUUCUGUUCUCCUUCCCAGCAGCCCAACUGGAGCUGGUGAGGAAUGUAGGGGGAUAACCAGAGCAAGGAUUACAAGCAAUGUGGAGGUUGGAGCUUUAAAUAUAGAGACAGAAGAGUGGCAGGCUGUUUUCUAAUCAGUCAGGAAACCAAGAGACAUGCAUUGCCCAAGAAAACACAGGCCUUUCGUGUUCACCCAGAGAGUGCUGACUGCCAGCAGCAGGAGCUGUAUCCAACCUCAGGCUUGCAAGCAAUGUGCUGCUUCCUUUCCGAAUGGAAAAAUCAGCUGAGUUUCCUUUCCAGAGCUAGUUGUAAAGGUUUCAGCAGAGCGUGGGAGGUAAAAGGUGUAAACAGGCCCAGAGCUGCAUGCAGUGCCGUGAGAGACGUCUGCUGAGCCCCAGACGAGCUGACUUCAGCCUCUGUCGAUCUCGCUAGGGCCUGGCAAGCUCCAGGAGUGGCGUUGCUCAUGCUGGUGAGGAGCCUGCUCUGUCUGAGUGCUCGUGCCUGUUUGCUGCCGGAUGGGGAGCGCGGAAGAGGAGAGCUGCUGCCCCUCAGGGGUUUUUGUGCUUGCAGCGGUCCGCAGCUGUCUCCCCAAGCGGAGAAGCAAACAUGUGGGCACGUGUCCCAGUGGCAAGGGAGAGACCUAGGCUCUGGGGUCUGCGCCGGGCUCUGCCCUCGGCUUGCUGGGGUUAAACCAGCCAGGUUGGAGCCCUUGGCUGCGUAUUUCCUUCUGGGUGCUGAGUCAGGCUGCGCCCCACUGCCCCGAGGUAAGGUUUCUUCGCCUUCAUUGCUGGAAGGAGGAAGCUCCUCGUGCUGCCUGAGCUUGCGCAAUGCCCCAGCAAGCAGCGAGCCUGGCUUCCUUUUCAGAAGUCUGUUCUUGUUACAGACAACCCAUUAAUCAAAGGUGCUAAUGACAAGCAAGACCAUCAGACGGUAAUUUGGCAAAACCUGCAGGAAGAGCUCACGAAGGUGGCAUUGCAGACAUUCGUGUAGCAGGAAAGGCGGCAGCACGAUGUGCUGGCUGGAGAGCUUAGCACUUAGCCAGCUGAGUCAGCCUGCGUGCCUGGAGUCAGGCUCGCUUAAAAACAUUUAAAACCAUUUUUGGUUAUGGAAGGAAACGGGCUGUCCGAGCAGUAGACAGUAAGUUCAGUGUGUGAGCGUUCCCAUUUAAUAAGAAUUUGUUUAGCGUUAGAGCUUGGGGUCGGAGCCUGAGCGUUGGGCACCUCAGACCGAGGACCCGGUCUGGGACCUGGCGCACGCUCAGACUCUGGCCAAGCAGCCAGGUCUGGCUGCAGGAUACUGGACUCGAUCCUGUCGGGAAGAAUUGUCUCCAAAUCCUCUUACAGGCAAAUGUAGCAGUUUUUAUACUGGACUAAACCAUCCCUGUUCAAUACCUCAUCUCCAGCUGUGGCCAAUUCUUAAUGCUUGAGAGGAAAACAAAAAUCCCUGAAUAAUUUAGCUAGCCAGCAGUGUAGUGCCAUGCAGUGGGGUCAGGGGGUAUCUUUUAACUGAAGUGCUCGUAAUUGCCUGGAGUUUGUUGGAGUUUUUUAUGGAUAAUUAACUACAAAUGUUGUUGGCCAGGAAUUUAUUUGGUCUUUUUAAAAUCAAGUUGUUGAUUUUAUUUAUUUUUUUUUAUAUUCUCCUUGCAGUAAAUACAAACUAAUCCAUGAGCUUGGGUUAAAUGUGCCUGAGUUUAUUUUCUCUG